rnacentral:tRNA from 1 species
ACGGGUUUAGCUCAGUUGGUAGAGCGAUGGUCUCCAAAACCAUAGGUCGAGAGUUCGAGCCUUUCAACCCGUG